rnacentral:tmRNA from 1 species
AAAAUCAAAAAGACUAUAACGAUCCCGCUCAGGUUUUCCUGGCUAUGGUGAUAAACGGUAAGUGGAAUAAUUGUUGUGGACCCGGGGGCAGUGCCCGGCGUCUCCACCAAAACAACACACCCGCACUAAGCAGGUGUUUGUGGGGACGAAACAGGCUCGACACGCAUGGUAAAGACUUGCCUUUUGCCCGGCAUUGUACCGCCGUUAUCGGGCUAAACUUUUAAGUGCCAAUGAUAACUCACAGGUGCUCGCUGUUGCUGCAUAAGCGAUAAGCGCGGUUCGGGAGGGCACCGGGCAACAGAAGCCCUC